GGAUAGUAGUUAUCCAUUGGUCUUAGGAACCAAAAAAUUGGUGCAACUCCAAAUAAAAGUA
rnacentral:tRNA from 1 species